rnacentral:rRNA from 1 species
AGAGUUUGAUCCUGGCUCAGAGUGAACGCUGGCGGCAUGCCUAACACAUGCAAGUCGAACGGUAACAGGCCCGCAAGGGUGCUGACGAGUGGCGGACGGGUGAGGAAUACAUCGGAAUUUGCCCAGUCGUGGGGGAUAACGUAGGGAAACUUACGCUAAUACCGCAUACGACCUAACGGUGAAAGCGGGGGAUCGCAAGACCUCGCGCGAGUGGAUGAGCCGAUGUCGGAUUAGCUAGUUGGCGGGGUAAAGGCCCACCAAGGCGACGAUCCGUAGCUGGUCUGAGAGGAUGAUCAGCCACACUGGGACUGAGACACGGCCCAGACUCCUACGGGAGGCAGCAGUGGGGAAUAUUGGACAAUGGGGGCAACCCUGAUCCAGCAAUGCCGCGUGUGUGAAGAAGGCCUUCGGGUUGUAAAGCACUUUUAUCCGGAACGAAACGCGCAGGGUGAAUAUCCUUGCGAACUGACGGUACCGGAGGAAUAAGCACCGGCUAACUUCGUGCCAGCAGCCGCGGUAAUACGAAGGGUGCAAGCGUUACUCGGAAUUACUGGGCGUAAAGGGUGCGUAGGUGGUUGUUUAAGUCUGUUGUGAAAGCCCCGGGCUCAACCUGGGAAUGGCAAUGGAUACUGGACAGCUAGAGUGCGGUAGAGGGUAGUGGAAUUCCCGGGUGUAGCAGUGAAAUGCGUAGAGAUCGGGAGGAACACCAGUGGCGAAGGCGGCUAC